rnacentral:piRNA from 1 species
UGCAAGAUGGUUACAAACAACUUUUAGA